UUCUGACUUUUAUUUUAAUUAAUUUUGUGGGUACAUAGUAGGUGUAUAUAUUUAUGGAGUACAUGAGAUGUUUUGACACAGGCAAGCAAUGUGAAAUAAGCACAUCAUGGAGAAUGAGGUAACUAUCCUCUCAAUCAUUUAUCCUUUGAGUUACAAACAAUCCAUUUACAUUCUUUAUUUAAAAAUAUACAAUGAAGUUAUUACUGACUAUAGUCACCCUAUUGUGCUAUCAAACAGCAGAUCUUAUUCAUUCUUUCUAUUUUUUUUUGUACCCAUUAACCAUUCUCAUCCCCUCUCCAAUCCCCGACUACCCUUCCCAGCCUCUGGUAACCAUCCUUCUACUCUUUAUGUCCAUGAACUUAAUUGAUUUGAUUUUUAGAUCCCACAAAUAAGUGAGAACAUGUGAUGUUUGUCUUUCUGUGCCUGGCUUUGAAUAUACUAGUAAUAGCUAUGUUUCUGUCACUUUUUGGAUCUAGGUAAAAUGAAAAAGGGCAAAAAACUUACUGCCUUGGGAAAGAAUACUAGAUUAAAAGAUGACACUAGGAAUACUGCUAAAUCCUUGCAUUUGCUUAAAUGUUGCCAUCAAGGAGAAAAUUCAAACCUCAAACUUCUGACAAGUGAAGCCUGGUAGGUGGGGUGAUGGUGGAUGAUCUGGAUGCUUUCAUCAAGAGUCUGGGAAUUAAAUGCCUAUAGGCAGGCAGAUCAAGUAUGUAGGUACAGCAGGCAGGAUGUCAGACGAUUGACGCAGGGACUCACUCUGUGGCAGUGGAGAGCAUGCCAAGUCCAAAGACUUAUUCAGGAUGAAUUUUAACAAUCACUGCAAGUCCAGCAAAACAGCCCUGUGUGGGCAGAUGCUGCCCACAAGCCACCGUUUUUUGAAGUAUGCUUUCAAUGGGUUAAAGGAACCCGAAAAGAACUCCCUACUGUGAUCACCAGAAAAUGUAGGUAACCCUUAAGAACCAAUGGGAAAUAAAAAGAAAUGCCAGAAAAUUGGAGAUAGAUAAAAGCUUUUCCUGAUAUUUAAAAUUUCUAGAUUCUAGAAAUUAUGUAAAUUUGACACAAAUUCUGGGCAGCAUUAUAAAAUGGCUCAGUAGUAGGUAAUUAAACAGACGGUAUUUUUUGAUUGCUUACAAAAGAUAAGGUUAGUUAACAGGAGACUGCAUGAGAUCAUUAUUAAUCUUGCCCCUUUUCUGAUAAUCAAGACCAAUAUAUUGAUAUAGAUGAUCAAUAUCUGUGAUGUACAUUGUGGUUUUAGCCAGGAGAUUGACAUGCGGGGCCACCUGGAGAAAUGUGAAUACUUAGCUGGCUAAUUAACCAAAGGAGAGAUGGUAGAGCAAUGAGCUGAUGUCACGAAAGACAUUUUUUGGAGUCAUGCAGUGGUCCUCUGACUUAGUUCACCUGAUCUGUGCUUGUGAGCAUUUUGGGGAACCAUGUCUAAGAUAUAGUAAGUGUGGUUAUCAAACAAACGAUGGCCUAAAAUGCAUAGGAUGAAAAAUUAAUAUACUAGAUGAAAAAAUCAGGAUCCAAAAUUACUUGAGGUGCUGAAAUAAUGAUCUAAAGGGGGGAAAAAAAGAAAAAUUUUAUAGUAAUGAAUACUAAGUCUUGAUUCUAGGUUAGAACAAACAUUUCACAAGAAGAAGUUUGAGGAUAUUGAGUCAGUUCAUGUAAAAAAGCCCUGGUUGAAUUCAUUGAAAGUGUACUCUGAACCAAAGAUGUUAUUUGGUUGCUAAGACUAGUAAUAUAAUCUUAUAGCAUACCUAAUGUGUAGGUCAAAAAUAAUAAUCAUCACCAUUUAUUGAAAGCAUAAUACCUCAUAUAUGCCCCUCAAUAACUUUUAAUACUCUAUAGUUAGGUCUUAAUACUCCAUUUUAUGAAUGGGGACAUAGGUUAAGAGGAGUUAAGUAAAUUGCUCAAGAGGAGUUAAGUAAAUUGCUCA
rnacentral:lncRNA from 1 species